GGCCCGUGGGUCCAAUAGGACCCAAACACUUAAAGAAGACAGCAGCUCCUUCUUCCCCCAUUUGCAUGCAACGCAGCAAAACAGAUUUGGGGAGGAAGAAGAGACCCCAAACCUUUAACCUCCUUUGAUCCGCCAUAACUCUUCCGUCUGGGCUCCGAUUGCCGCACCGUUCGCAGUCAUACAUCCAGCGCGUCGAGUUCUACAUUUCUAUUAGAUCAAUUUCACUGGUUCGAUUUAACUUGCGAAGCUUACUGGGUUUGAGUUGCUACGUGUGUGGGAGCGGUAAUAUUUCCCUAAACUUUAAUUUGGUUUUAAUUCUAUUAGGUAAAAUCUGAUUUGGAACAUAUAUAUAUGUAUUAGGUGUAGGUUAAGUGGGUGUUCAUGCAUUGGAAUUGAAUUGGGAUUACUUGGAGGUUUGUUGGUGACCAAGGCUUGUUUUGGGGUUGUUUGAUUGAGCUUGGAGGGGCUGUAAUUUUGAGUUGUGAGGCUACCUUGGGUGAACUAAGUGAUUGGCCAAGGUAUGGUUUAAGUUUCACACGUUUAAUAUUUACGGUGUUGUGAAAACUUAGGUUAGAGGAACCAUAGGAUAAGUUGAAUUAUUUGUUGUAUUUAAUAAUUAGCCUUGUAAUGUUGUUGGAAUAGAUUUGUUGGUGGAUAUAUAUUGGAAUUAUGAGGUGUGGAA